CAACUAUAGAUACUAAACAUAGUAUAGAGACUAAACAUACAGCAGUUAGCUUGGAGAAAAAAGAGGCUAAUAAUCAGCUAGCACAACAGGCUAACACUCAGCUAGCUGGGGUUGCACUGUGUAUAAGACAGUAGUUUUGGAAUUGUUAGUUAGAUUACUUGUUGGUUAUUACUGCAUUGUCGGAACUAGAAGCACAAGCAUUUCGCUACACUCGCAUUAACAUCUGCUAACCAUGUGUAUGUGACAAAUAAAAUUUGAUUUGAUUUGAUUUAGCACAACAGGCUAACACUCAGCUAGCACAAUAGGCUAACACUCAGCUAGCACAACAGGCUAACACUCAGCUAGCACAACAGGCUAACACUCAGCCAGCACAACAGGAUAACACUCAGCUUGUGAAACAGGCUAAAACUCAACUAGCACAACAGGCUAACACUCAGCUAUGUACAACAGGCUAACACUCAGCUAGCGCAACAGGAUAACACUCAGCUUGUGCAACAGGCUAACACUCAGCUUGUGCAACAGGCUAACACUCAGCUAGCGCAACAGGAUAACACUCAGCUUGUGCAACAGGCUAACACUCGACUAGCACAACAGGCUAACUCUCAACUAGCACAACAGGCUAACACACAGACAUUUGACACCUCGCCCUCAACCCCACCACACGCCUUCCCCCAGCUCCACACCCAGAGAGACAGAGCUACAGUCCUGCACUGAAAGAGACAGACCAGAGGAACAGCUGAGACCAGACCAGCUGGGACCAUCAGAACUACUGUCCUCCAGCUGGGACCAUCAGAACUACUGUCCUCCAGCUGGGACCAUCAGAACUACUGUCCUCCAGCUGGGACCAUCAGAACUACUGUCCUCCAGCUGGGACCAUCAGAACUACUGUCCUCCAGCUGGGACCAUCAGAACUACUGUCCUCCACUGAGACCAUCAGAACUACUGUCCUCCAGCUGGGACCAUCAGAACUACUGUCCUCCAGCUGUGACCAUCAGAACUACUGUCCUCCAGCUGGGACCAUCAGAACUACUGUCCUCCACUGAGACCAUCAGAACUACUGUCCUCCAGCUGAGACCAUCAGAACUACUGUCCUCCAGUGAGACCAUCAGAACUACUGUCCUCCAGCUGAGACCAGCAGAACUACUGUCCUCCAGUGAGACCAUCAGAACUACUGUCCUCCAGCUGAGACCAGCAGAACUACUGUCCUCCAGCUUAGACCAUCAGAACUACUGUCCUCCAGCUGGGACCAUCAGAACUACUGUCCUCCAGCUGAGACCAGCAGAACUACUGUCCUCCAGCUGGGACCAUCAGAACUACUGUCCUCCAGCUGAGACCAGCAGAACUACUGUCCUCCAGUGAGACCAUCAGAACUACUGUCCUCCAGCUGAGACCAUCACAACUACUCUCCUCCAGCUGGGACCAUCAGAACUACUGUCCUCCAGCUGGGACCAUCAGAACUACUGUCCUCCAGCUGUGACCAUCAGAACUACUGUCCUCCAGCUGGGACCAUCAGAACUACUGUCCUCCAGCUGGGACCAUCAGAACUACUGUCCUCCAGCUGAGACCAUCAGAACUACUGUCCUCCAGCUGGGACCAUCAGAACUACUGUCCUCCAGCUGGGACCAUCAGAACUACUGUCCUCCAGUGAGACCAUCAGAACUACUGUCCUCCAGUGAGACCAUCAGAACUACUGUCCUCUAGUGAGACCAUCAGAACUACUGUCCUCCAGCUGAGACCAGCAGACCUGCUGUCCUCCAGUGAGACCAGUAGAACUACUGUCCUCCAGCUGAGACCAGCAGACCUGCUGUCCUCCAGUAUUCACACAGACAGUAUUAAGACUAAUUUCAAAGCCAUCGGUUCCAGCUAAACGACGUCUGCUCCCGUCCGCACUGACACCUUUCGAAGGGGAAGUUUUGGAGGACGGGAUGCGGAACUCUUGUAAAGGUGGAAACGAGGCAUUGCCAGAGAGCCUAGAGACUGGUGUUUUACUGUUAAACAUUUAUAACCCCCCAGUCUACAUUUACCCAUCACCACCACCAGCCCAUAGAGACCCCCCAGUCUCCAGUUACCCAUCACCACCACCAGCCCAUAUAGACCCCCCAGUCUACAUUUACCCAUCACCACCACCAGCCCAUAGAGAACCACCCCCAGUCUCCAGUUACCCAUCACCACCACCAGCCCAUAGAGACCCCCC
ensembl:lncRNA